rnacentral:rRNA from 1 species
UAACAAGGUUUCCGUAGGUGAACCUGCGGAAGGAUCAUUGUCGAAACCUGCAAAGCAGACUCGUGAACAUGUUUUUAACUUGAACGGUGAUGCAAUAGGAUGCGCAAGCCUUCUAUAUAUCAUCGUGCUCGCUUGACGUUUUGCGUCUCGUGGGCUAACGAACCCCGGCGCGGCAUGCGCCAAGGAAAACUUAAAGAUGCAUUGCCCCUUUGACCCUCGUUUGCGGUGCGGUCUUGGGGAUGCAAUGUCUCUCGAAUGUCUAAACGACUCUCGGCAACGGAUAUCUCGGCUCUCGCAUCGAUGAAGAACGUAGCGAAAUGCGAUACUUGGUGUGAAUUGCAGAAUCUCGUGAACCAUCGAGUCUUUGAACGCAAGUUGCGCCCGAAGCCAUUAGGUUGAGGGCACGCCUGCCUGGGCGUCAUACAUCGCGUUGCCCCCUCUAAAUCCAAUUUGGAAGGGGCAGAAAUUGGUCUCCCGUGCAUUAUUGUGUGUGGUUGGCCCAAAUAAGAUCCCUUUUUGACGGUUGUCAUGACUAGUGGUGGUUGAAUUCUCAAUCGUGCUGUUGUGCCUUACAUUGUUCUUUACAGGGCAUCGAAUUGACCCAAUGGUACAAAUAGUACCUUCGACCGCGACCCCMRGUCAGGCGGGACUACCCGCUGAGUUUAAG